GAUGAACGCUGGCGGCGUGCCUAAUACAUGCAAGUCGAGCGAACAGACGAGUUGCUUGCCCCACUCACGUUGGCGGCGGACGGGUGAGUAACGGGUGGAUACCCUAUCUAUAGGACUGGGAUAGCUUCAGUUAACCGGAGCUAAUACCGGCUAAUCUAUUGAAACGCAUGGUUCAAUAGAGUAAGCCGGUUUCGCUGUCACUAAUAGAUGAAUCCGCGCCGCAUUAGCCAGUUGGUAAGGUAACGGCAUACGAAGGCGACUAUGCGUAGCCGACCUGAGAGGGUGAUCCGCCAGCCUGGAUGUGAGACUCGUCACAGACUCCGACGGGAGGCAGCAGUAGGGAAUCUUCCGCAAUGGGCGAAAGCCGGACAGAGCAACGCCGCGGCAGUGAUGAUGGUCUUCGGAUCGUUAAACUAAGUUGUUAGGGAGGAACAAAUGUGUAAUUAACGAUGCACGUCAUGACGGUACCGAAACAAAAAGCCCCGGCUAACUACGUG
rnacentral:rRNA from 1 species